rnacentral:rRNA from 1 species
UGCGUAGGCGGUUUGGAAAGUCUGAUGUGAAAGCCUACAGCUUAACUGUAGAACUGCAUUGGAAACUUCCAGACUAGAAUACUGAAGGGGCAGAUGGAAUUAGUGGUGUAGGGGUAAAAUCCGUAGAUAUCACUAGGGAUACCGAAAGCGAAAGCGAUCUGCUGGGAAGUUAUUGACGCUGAGGCACGAAAGCGUGGGGAGCAAACAGGAUUAGAUACCCUGGUAGUCC